rnacentral:rRNA from 1 species
AUAUUGGACAAUGGGGGCAACCCUGAUCCAGCAAUGCCGCGUGUGUGAAGAAGGCCUUCGGGUUGUAAAGCUCUUUUGUCAGGGAAGAAACGGUGGGGGCUAAUAUCCCCCGCUAAUGACGGUACCUGAAGAAUAAGCAUCGGCUAACUACGUGCCAGCAGCCGCGGUAAAACGUAGGACGCAAGCGUUAUCCGGAGUUACUGGGCGUAAAGGGCGUGUAGGCGGCACUUCAAGUUCGGCGUGAAAGCCUCCGGCUCAACCGGGGAGGGUCGAGGGAGACUGAAGCGCUGGAGGACGGUAGAGGGACAGGGAAUUCCGGGUGUAGUGGUGAAAUGCGUAGAGAUCCGGAGGAACACCAGUGGCGAAGGCGCUGUCCUGGGCCGUUGCUGACGCUGAGACGCGACAGCAUGGGGAGCGAAC